rnacentral:rRNA from 1 species
GACGAACGCUGGCGGCGUGCCUAAUACAUGCAAGUCGACCUUAGUGGCGAAAGGGUGAGUAACCCGUGGUUAACCUGCCGAACAGCAGGGGAUAACACUUGGAAACAGGUGCUAAUACCGUAAACUGAUGGCUGGACCCGCGGUACAUUAGCUAGUUGGUGAGGUAACGGCUCACCAAGUCCACGAUGCAUAGCCGACCUGAGAGGGUGAUCGGCCACAUUGGGACUGAGACACGGCCCAAACUCCUACGGGAGGCAGCAGUAGGGAAUCUUCGGCAAUGGACGAAAGUCUGACCGAGCAACGCCGCGUGAGUGAAGAAGGUUUUCGGAUCGUAAAACUCUGUUGUUAGAGAAGCGGUAUCUAACCAGAAAGCCACGGCUAACUACGUGCCAGCAGCCGCGGUAAUAC